GCUCAGGACGAACGCUGGCGGCGUGCUUAACACAUGCAAGUCGAACGAUGAAGCCUUUCGGGGUGGAUUAGUGGCGAACGGGUGAGUAACACGUGGGCAAUCUGCCCUUCACUCUGGGACAAGCCCUGGAAACGGGGUCUAAUACCGGAUAACACUCUGUCCUGCAUGGGACGGGGUUAAAAGCUCCGGCGGUGAAGGAUGAGCCCGCGGCCUAUCAGCUUGUUGGUGGGGUAAUGGCCUACCAAGGCGACGACGGGUAGCCGGCCUGAGAGGGCGACCGGCCACACUGGGACUGAGACACGGCCCAGACUCCUACGGGAGGCAGCAGUGGGGAAUAUUGCACAAUGGGCGAAAGCCUGAUGCAGCGACGCCGCGUGAGGGAUGACGGCCUUCGGGUUGUAAACCUCUUUCAGCAGGGAAGAAGCGAAAGUGACGGUACCUGCAGAAGAAGCGCCGGCUAACUACGUGCCAGCAGCCGCGGUAAUACGUAGGGCGCAAGCGUUGUCCGGAAUUAUUGGGCGUAAAGAGCUCGUAGGCGGCUUGUCACGUCGGAUGUGAAAGCCCGGGGCUUAACCCCGGGUCUGCAUUCGAUACGGGCUAGCUAGAGUGUGGUAGGGGAGAUCGGAAUUCCUGGUGUAGCGGUGAAAUGCGCAGAUAUCAGGAGGAACACCGGUGGCGAAGGCGGAUCUCUGGGCCAUUACUGACGCUGAGGAGCGAAAGCGUGGGGAGCGAACAGGAUUAGAUACCCUGGUAGUCCACGCCGUAAACGUUGGGAACUA
rnacentral:rRNA from 5 species